GACGGAAGGUGCAAGCGUUGCUCGGAAUCACUGGGCGUAAAGGGUGCGUAGGCGGCCGCGCAAGUCUGGCGUGAAAGCCCCGGGCUCAGCCCGGGAAGGGCGCUCGAAACGGCGCGGCUCGAGUGCCGGAGGGGAGAGUGGAAUUCCUGGUGUAGCGGUGAAAUGCGUAGAGAUCGGGAAGAACACCAACGGCGAAAGCACUCUGCUGGGCCGAAACUGACACUGAGAGACGAAAGCUAGGGGAGCAAAUGGG
rnacentral:rRNA from 1 species